UAGGGAAUCUUCCGCAAUGGGCGAAAGCCUGACGGAGCAACGCCGCGUGAGUGAUGAAGGUCUUCGGAUCGUAAAACUCUGUUAUUAGGGAAGAACAAAUGUGUAAGUAACUAUGCACGUCUUGACGGUACCUAAUCAGAAAGCCACGGCUAACUACGUGCCAGCAGCCGCGGUAAUACGUAGGUGGCAAGCGUUAUCCGGAAUUAUUGGGCGUAAAGCGCGCGUAGGCGGUUUUUUAAGUCUGAUGUGAAAGCCCACGGCUCAACCGUGGAGGGUCAUUGGAAACUGGAAAACUUGAGUGCAGAAGAGGAAAGUGGAAUUCCAUGUGUAGCGGUGAAAUGCGCAGAGAUAUGGAACACCAGUGGCGAAGGCGACUUUCUGGUCUGUAACUGACGCUGAUGUGCGAAAGCGUGGGGAUCAAACAGG
rnacentral:rRNA from 1 species